rnacentral:rRNA from 1 species
GACGAACGCUGGCGGCGUGCUUAACACAUGCAAGUCGAACGGAAAGGCCCUGCUUUUGUGGGGUGCUCGAGUGGCGAACGGGUGAGUAACACGUGAGUAACCUGCCCUUGACUUUGGGAUAACUCCAGGAAACUGGGGCUAAUACCGGAUAGGAGCUCCUGCUGCACGGUGGGGGUUGGAAAGUUUCGGCGGUUGGGGAUGGACUCGCGGCUUAUCAGCUUGUUGGGGGGGUAGUGGCUUACCAAGCCUUUGACGGGUAGCCGGCAUGGGAGGGUGACCGGCCACAUUGGGACUGAGAUACGGCGCAGACUCCUACGGGAGGCAGCAGUGGGAAAUAUUGCACAAUGGGCGGAAGCCUGAUGCAGCAGCGCCGCGUGCGGGAUGACGGCCUUCGGGUGGUAAACCGCUUUCGCCGGUGACGAAGCGUGAGUGACGGUAAUGGGUAAAGAAGCACCGGCUAACUACGUG